GAAAGAGGCCCAGAGCGUUAGGCGGAACAAAGGGGCUUAAAGCGAGUGUAGGAGGGCCCGGAAGUGUAUUGUGAAAUCCCACGGCUCAACCGUGGAACUGCUGGGCAUACUGCGGGUCUUGGGCCAACUAGGGGCAGCCGGAACAAGCGGUGGAGCGGUGAAAUGCGUAGAUAUCGCUUGGAACGCCGCAGGUGAACCCAGUCUGCUGGGGUUCCCCCGACGCUGAGACACGCAAUCCAGGGGAGCAAACGGG
rnacentral:rRNA from 1 species